CAUGACAGAGCCGUGAUCGGUUUUCCCAGGCGCCCCAGGCGGCCGGGGAUGAAAAGGGAACGCGGUGCGUGCCGAAAGGCGCAACUCCGCGGCUGCCCCCGCAACUGUAAGCGGCGAGCAAGGCUGACAAACGCCACUGGGGACACCCGGGAAGGCCAGCCAAGCGAAGACCCGCGAGCCAGGAGACCUGCCGCUCACCCGCCCCCCGG
rnacentral:ncRNA from 2 species